UACGUAGGGACCAAGCGUUGUUCGGAUUUACUGGGCGUAAAGGGCGCGUAGGCGGCAAUUUCAAGUCAUCUGUGAAAUCUCCGGGCUUAACUCGGAACGGUCAGAUGAUACUGCUUUGCUAGAGUGCGGAAGGGGCAAUCGGAAUUCUUGGUGUAGCGGUGAAAUGCGUAGAUAUCAAGAGGAACACCUGAGGUGAAGACGGGUUGCUGGGCCGACACUGACGCUGAAGCGCGAAAGCCAGGGGGAGCAAACGGGG
rnacentral:rRNA from 1 species